AAUAGACCCAGGUAGUCCACGCCGUAAACGAUGAGUGCUAAGUGUUAGAGGGUUUCCGCCCUUUAGUGCUGCAGCUAACGCAUUAAGCACUCCGCCUGGGGAGUACGGCCGCAAGGCUGAAACUCAAAGGAAUUGACGGGGGCCCGCACAAGCGGUGGAGCAUGUGGUUUAAUUCGAAGCAACGCGAAGAACCUUACCAGGUCUUGACAUCCUCUGCCAACCCUAGAGAUAGGGCGUUCCCCUUCGGGGGACAGAGUGACAGGUGGUGCAUGGUUGUCGUCAGCUCGUGUCGUGAGAUGUUGGGUUAAGUCCCGCAACGAGCGCAACCCUUGAUCUUAGUUGCCAGCAUUCAGUUGGGCACUCUAAGGUGACUGCCGGUGACAAACCGGAGGAAGGUGGGGAUGACGUCAGAUCAUCAUGCCUCUUAUGACCUGGGCUACACACGUGCUACAAUGGAUGGUACAAAGAGCUGCGAACCCGCGAGGGUAAGCCAAUCUCAUAAAGCCAUUCUCAGUUCGGAUUGU
rnacentral:rRNA from 1 species